AUAUGCACUUAUUGUAAGAACAUAGGACACACUGAGGACACAUACUUCAAACUCCAUGGUUAUCCCGAAUGAUAUACAGAACUCAAAGGAAAAAAAGGAAAAGAAAAGGCAAAUGUUGUUUCAAAUGAAAACUCCACUGACAUUAAAGGUGAAUCACCUAUCACAACAUGUUGGAAUGCAGAAAUAACCAACAUUAUACAACAAGAAAUCAGCAAAUACAUGAAAAGUCAGGGAGCAAGC
rnacentral:lncRNA from 1 species